CUUCUGUUAUAGGCUACUGAAAAGAUUCUGUCUGCAGGUUUCACAGAAGACAUUGAUACUAUGGGGAGAGGAUGACCAAAUCAUUAGCAACAAGCUCGCUUGGAGACUGCAUGGAGAGUUAUCGAAUGCACGUGUUGAACAAAUAUCAAACUGUGGACAUCUUCCCCACGUCGAAAAACCGGCUGCUGUUGCUAAACUUAUAGCAGAGUUUGUUAGAGAGACUUGCAGCAGGUGUAACGAGGUUGAAAGUAUAUCUUAGACCCUAGGGGGCCAUUCAUUAUUGAAGGACCAAAAUCUUACUUCUCUAAUUGUAUAGUUGAUACUUCACUUCUUUCA